AGGGGUGUAACUCAGUGGUAAAGUACAUGCCUGGAGUGUAUGUGGCCAUGGGUUCAAACCUCAGCACCAAGA
rnacentral:tRNA from 1 species